CAGAGCGAACGCUGGCGGCAGGCCUAACACAUGCAAGUCGAGCGGCCGUAGCAAUACGGCAGCGGCAGACGGGAGAGUAACACGUGGGAACGCGCCCUUCGGUUCGGAAUAACUCAGGGAAACUUGGGCUAAUACCGAAUACGCCCUUACGGGGAAAGAUUUAUUGCCGAAGGAACGGCCCGCGUCCGAUUAGCUUGUUGGUGAGGUAACGGCUCACCCAAGGCGACGAUCGGUAGCUGGUCUGAGAGGAUGACCAGCCUCACUGGGACUGAGACACGGCCCAGACUCCUACGGGAGGCAGCAGUGGGGAAUAUUGGACAAUGGGCGCAAGCCUGAUCCAGCCAUGCCGCGUGGGUGAUGAAGGCCCUAGGGUUGUAAAGCCCUUUCGGCGGGGAAGAUAAUGACGGUACCCGCAGAAGAAGCCCCGGCUAACUUCGUGCCAGCAGCGGC
rnacentral:rRNA from 1 species